UACGUAGGGUGCAAGCGUUAAUCGGAAUUACUGGGCGUAAAGCGCGCGCAGGCGGUUCUUCAAGUCAGUGGUGAAAGCCCGGAGCUCAACUCCGGAAUUGCCAUUGAAACUGUAGAACUUGAGGAUGAGAGAGGUGAGUGGAAUUCCCAGUGUAGAGGUGAAAUUCGUAGAUAUUGGGAAGAACACCGGUGGCGAAGGCGGCGAC
rnacentral:rRNA from 1 species